UCAUUUAUCUAAUAAUUUCAAUAAGUGUUUGAUUUGUCCUAAUGUCAAACUUCCAAAGUCAUUUUUUCUCUAUAAUUUUAUUUUUAAAACGCUUUCAUUAAGUUAUAAAGAAUUGCCAAUAAUGAUGCUAUUAACCUGAUUUUUGUUUUAGUACGUAGCAUAUAUUUUUAUAUAUUACGUUUUAGUAUGUGUGUUCCAAACUUUCUGCAACUUAUAAUAAAACUCCAUUCUAUAGAGUUUGUUUGUGAUGAUUAAUGUGCCACCACAUAAAUGUAGCAAAUAUUAAUGAAGCUAUGGCAAUAAACUUAAUGUUGACACAAAAAUGCCAAAUCUCAAGUUAAAUGGUUUAUCUAAAUCUUUUAAAACGGAUGCAAGCACUAAGAAGAAAAUAACGUUACAAAUUGAAGCAGAAAUUUAAUGAAUCAUAUUGACGAUUGGAUAUGAAUCGCACAAAAACACCAUUGUCGAAUGGUUAUGAAUCAAAUAUUUGUAUU